AGAGCUUUGUUGGAGGCUUUAACCACUGGCAGCAGCCUCAGAAGAACCUCCUCUGAAGCAGAGUAUUUCUUCAGGUCAAACACAUCCAGAUCUUUUCCUGAUGACACUAAGAUGAAACCCAGAGCUGACCACUGAGCAGGAGACAGUUUAUCUGUGGAGAGACUUCCUGAACUCAGAGACUGUUGGAUCUCCUCCACUAGAGAACGAUCAUUCAGUUCAUUCAGACAGUGGAACAGAUUGAUGCUUUUCUCUGCAGACACAUUCUCACUGAUCUUCUUCUUGAUGUACUGAACUGUUUCCUGAUUGGUCUGUGAGCUACUUCCUGUCUGUGUCAGCAGACCUUGUAGGAGUCUCUGAUUGGUCUGCAGUGAAAGUCCCAGGAGGAAGCGAAGGAACAAGUCCAGGUGUCCAUUUGGACUCUGUUGACACCAGAGUUGAUGAAGGUCAGAUGAACAUGAAGAGCAGCCAGAAACUCCUGAACACUCAGAUGGACGAAGCAGAACACCUUGUCCUGGUACAGACCUCUCUCCUCUUUAAAGAUCUGUGUGAACACUCCUGAGUACACUGAGGCUGCUCUGAUAUCGAUGCCACACUCUGUCAGGUCUGAUUCAUAGAAGAUCAGGUUUCCUUUCUGCAGCUGAUCAAAAGCCAGUUUUCCCAGAGACUCAAUCAUCUUCCUGCUCUCUGGACUCCAGUGUGGAUCUGUUUCAGCUCCUCCAUCAUACUUGACCUUCUUCACUUUGGUCUGAACCACCAGGAAGUGGAUGUACAUCUCAGUCAGGGUUCUGGGCAGCUCUCCUCCCUCUCUGGUCUCCAACACAUCCUCCAGAACUGUAGCAGUGAUCCAGCAGAAGACUGGGAUGUGGCACAUGAUGUGGAGGCUUCGUGAUGUCUUCAUGUGGGAGAUGAUCCUGCUGGCCUGCUCCUCAUCUCUGAAUCUCUUCCUGAAGUACUCCUCCUUCUGUGGGUCAUUGAACCCUCUGACCUCUGUUACCAUGCCAACACACUGAGGAGGGAUCUGAUUGGCUGCUGCAGGUCGUGUGGUUAUCCAGAGGAGAGCAGAGGGAAGCAGUUUCCCCCUGAUGAGGUUUGUCAGCAGAACAUCCACUGAGGUGGACUCUGUAGCAUCAGUCAGGAUCUCCUUGUUGUGGAAGUCCAGAGGAAGUCGACUCUCAUCCAAGCCAUCAAAGAUGAACAGAACCUGGAAGUGUUCAAAGCUGCAGAUUUCUUUGGUUUCAGUAAAGAAGUGAUGAACAAGUUCCACCAAACUGAACUUUUUCUCUUUCAGCACAUUCAGCUCUCUGAAAGUGAAUGGAAAUAUGAACUGGAUGUUCUGGUGGGCUUUGUCUUCAGCCCAGUCCAGAGUGAACUUCUGUGUUAAGACUGUUUUCCCAAUGCCAGCCACUCCCUUUGUCAUCACUGUUCUGAUUGGUUGAUCUCUUCCAGGUGGGACUUUAAAGAUGUCUUCUUGUCUGAUUGUUGUUUCUGGUCUGUGUGGUUUCCUGGAUGCUGUUUCAAUCUGUCUGACCUCAUGUUCAUCAUUGACCUCUCCAGUCCCUCCCUCUGUGAUGUAGAGCUCUGUGUAGAUCUGGUUCAGAAGGGUUGGACUUCCUGCUUUAGCAAUCCCCUCAAACACAGACUGGAACUUCUUCUUCAGACCAGAUUUAAGUUGAUGUUGACAAACUGCAGCAAGAUGUUCUAAAUAAACACAAAAA